CCCCCGUUCAUGCUCUGUCUCUCUCUGUCUCAAAAAUAAACAUUAAAAAAAAAAUUAAAAAAAAAACUCCAUCAAAGGAGAAAAAUCGCUCAUUCUGUCGUAUCAGGGGUUUUUUGAUUACAAGAGGUGAAACUUAACUUCAGCAAACGUUAAUUUAUCGGAAAGAAAUGUGAGAGACGGUGUCUGGGUUCUCCGGAGACACAGAGACUGAGGCUGAGAGAGAUUUAUUUUAAGCAGUUGCCUCGGUGGCUAUGGGGGUUGGCAAGUUCAACAUUUGCAGGGCGGGCUGGCAGCCUGGAGACUCAGGCAGGACUCCUAUGUGGCAGUCUUGGGAAGGAUGCCUUCAAUAUAUCUGGCUCUUCUCACAUUUUCAGUUCUGGAGGCCAGAGUUCAAGGUCAGGGUGUCAGCAGGCCUGGUUCCUUCGGAGGGCUGUGAGGGUUUCACAGAGGUGGACUGUGAGCCUCAGGGGCAUUCGAGAUGCCUGUGGUUUGAGCUGGCCAGAGGCCUGGCUGGGAGCCAGGAGGCCCAGGUGUCCUGGAUGUCCUCCGGUCAAGCCCUGGGCCCGGGCCAGCCCUCUCUUCCAGGAAACACUUGGCCAGGACCCGGGAAGAACCCGCCGGCAUCCCUUCCGGGUACGUGGGCCAUCCACCUGCGGGCCCAGGCCAGGCCUCCUGUGAGGCCAGCCCCCUGUGCCGCCCAGACUCCCUUCCUGUCUUUGACGGGGAAAUGCAGAGCUCUUCUGCACCCAGCCCACCACCACACAGACUUCGCCGGGGACAAGAGAGGACUGUGCGGCACAGAGGUGUCUCGGGACCUCAGCGUCCCCAUCGGCUGCUGGUAGAAGACUGUGACCACCUCCGAGGGGUGUCGUGAGGACUAAAGACGUGGGCACAGGAGAGGCACGUGGCACAGCGUUGGACACGUGGGUAACUAAGAGCCGGCUUUUUCGACCUGUUUGCAGCGCGACCUGAUGUGUCCUUGGCAACAGUGGUUAACAGGAAUACGGUCUCCCCCGGGGCCCGGCGUGUCCUCUCCUGCCGGAACUGCCAUCCCAAGCGAAGGGCAAAGCAGCGCGGGCCCCCAGCCCCGGCGUGCGGGCUGUCUUCCGCUGAGAUCUGCUUAUUUUUAACCCAGAGGAAAUCUGCCCAAGAAACAGGAUGUCCGUGCUCGCCUGAUUUUUCUUUUUAUGGUCUAUAAGGACGUGAUGGGGAGAAUUUCGCCAUUGGCCGAAAUCGCUUGUUUUUAACAGCAGUGUGAGACGGAGAGCCUAAAACUGGGCUGUUCGCGGACCCAGGAGGAAGACCCCACUCCACUUCCUUAUACGGAUGAGGAAAUGAAAGCUCAGCAGGGUCGCUGAUUUGCCCAAAGUCCACACCAUUUCCUGGCGGUGUAGGACUCGAGCUGGCUGCCUUUUAGGGGACUGGCCUUUCCGCAGAUCUGGCUCGCGGACGGUAGCGCCUGGCGGGAACCGUCGCCCGGUGGAUGGGCGCAGGCCUGUUCACAGACUUUAUUAGCCGCGGAGAUGCAUUCUGGGGCUGCCUGAGAUACCUUCUCCAUUCUCCUGGCUCCCUUGUCUGCCAGCCGUCAGCCAGAUGCUGGAAACCUGACGUCUGCAGGGAACCGAGUAAAAUAGGCUGGGUGGGGCCGGCGUCCCGCACCUGCCUGUCCCUGCGUGAGGUCUGAGCCUGGAGGCCACGAAGUCUGUCCUCUCCCAGCUCAGUCAGGGCCUGGGGUCUGUCCCGGUCCCGAGGCCCCUCCUGGACUUUCGCAGGUGCCUUCGACAGCCCCUGCGGUUGGGCUCUGGCCUCGUUGUGGGGGUGAGAUUUUACCUCUCCCCUCUUAGGUCUUCAGCCGGGUCCGGAAAUGAAAUUGAUCUUGAAGGAGGUGCACCUGGGCAGCUCAGUCGGUUGGUUCAGCAUCCGACUUCGGCUCGGGUCAUGAUCUCACGGUGUGUGAGUUCAAGUCCCGCAUCGGGCUCUCUGCUGUCACAGAGCCUGCUUUGGACCCUCUGCCUCCCUCUCUCUCUGCCCCUCCCCUGCUCAUUCUGUCUCUCUCUCUCUCUCUGUGUCUCUCUUUCUCAAAAAUAAAUAAAAUAUCAAAUAGAAUAAAUUGACCUAGAAGGAUUCA